UGCAUCUCCGAGCCUCACCUGAAUGUGUGACUCUUCAACCUCAGGACUUGCAGAACUAAGAGAGUGCCGUCCUAAGGUUGUUGAGUUGUGCAUUUCAGGGCAUGUCAUCUCUAUGGA
rnacentral:pre_miRNA from 14 species